rnacentral:rRNA from 1 species
UUCUAAAGAAGGACAGCGGCGGACGGGUGAGUAACGCGUAGGCAACCUGCCCCAUACAUUGGGAUAGCCCUGGGAAACUGGGUGUAAUACCGAAUAACACUUUGGAAUGGCAUCUUUUCAAAGUCAAAACUCCGGUGGUAUGGGAUGGGCCUGCGUCUGAUUAGCUAGUUGGUAAGGUAAUGGCUUACCAAGGCGACGAUCAGUAGCCGACCUGAGAGGGUGAUCGGCCACACUGGAACUGAGACACGGUCCAGACUCCUACGGGAGGCAGCAGUGGGGAAUAUUGCACAAUGGGCGAAAGCCUGAUGCAGCAACGCCGCGUGAGUGAUGAAGGCUUUCGGGUCGUAAAACUCUGUCCUAAAGGAAGAAUAAUGACGGUACUUUAGGAGGAAGCCCCGGCUAACUACGUGCCAGCAGCCGCGGUAAUACGUAGGGGGCAAGCGUUAUCCGGAUUUACUGGGCGUAAAGGGUGUGUAGGCGGUUAUGCAAGUUGAUGGUGAAAGGCUACGGCUCAACC